GGACUGCAUGUAGACGCAGAAGGUGAAUAUUCAACUGAAAGCUUCACUGAAGUGCUGAUUUCUGAUUCUUACAUAACUCAAAAUGGUUCUUAUGGAAUGUUCUUGAACAAUGUCCCAAUGACAGACAUAUCAUUGCAGAGACCGAGUGGCGAUUUCACGAUUCUCAUUUUUUUCCGUGGUUAAGACAUACUGUCGAGAAGAGUGGUAUUGGUAGUAACGGAGAAAAGGGUAUUAGCGUCUCCUCGACCUGCAAAAGUAAUGUUUUCAAGGCAAGAUCUUUUCAAGAAGAGUUGCCUAAACCAGAAGAGCUUAACUAUUCAGCCUUAAGUGAGCUUCUGAACGUGGUUAACUUGAGCAUGGAACGGGAAACACAGCAUCUCUACAAUUAACAUUCUCCCCUUCAUUUUCUGCCUUUAAGUUGUAUAAUAAAAACCAGAAUUCAAGAAGUUGAUCUAAACAGAUUUUUUGAGAAUCUAUGAAAGAAAAUUCUUUAAAAUUAUAUUGAUUGACUAAUAUAAUAUUUUAAUGUGACUAUUUUUCUAUAAACAGUAAUUGAUUUUUUUUUUCAUUCAUGUUUUUAUAAUUGUGGUGUAUUUUUAUAAGUAAAUAGUGUAAUGUGAGACACCGAAAAUUUCAGUAUUGAAUAAUGAAAAUGUUAUACAUUUCUCUUUUCAUAGCUGCCAACUCUACUGGAUUUUGCCAGUUUCUCCCGCUGUACUGGUCUAAUCCAAUCUCCUAGUUUUUGUACAUUUUAGAAAAGUCCCUAAAAUUAAGUUUCCUAAAAAAUCCCUAUUGAAAUAGAAUUUUUCACAGUUUAUUGCUUUGCGUGAAUAUUUAAAUUAGUGUUACAUAAUGAAGUGAGCUUCAUUUAUAGUAUUCAAUUUGAAACUUUUUUUCUUAUUGAAAAAUUUUUUGGUUUAUUUUUAUUUGGAUUCUCUCUUUUUAAAUUAAUUAAAACAUCUUUAAACUAUCAAUAAUAAAAUACUAUUAAAAAUUGUGAGGUAACAUAAGUUAAAAGCAUUUCAAGUCCGUUUAAUGUCAAUCAUAACUGGUAAAUAUAAAAUUUUUGUAUUUUGAUGACAAUAAAAAUUCCCUAUCUGUAAAAUAUUUAGUAUAUUAUGCAGUAAAUAUCAUAGAAUUUAUAUUUUGUGAAAUCUACAGUAUUUUUUCCAGUCCAUAUUCGCAGCAAUGCUCUUUUGUACUUUGUUCCUACUUUACUAUUUCAGUUUUUAUUUAUUUGCUGUCAAAUAAUUUUUAUGGAGAACUAUUAUAUUUUUGCCCUUUUUUAUACUUUUUAAUUUAGUAUGGUAGCAUAACAUUUCAAAUUUUUUUCCUGUAAAAUACGGUAUUAUUAAAAAUUUGUAGAUUUUCUGCGCAUUUUUAUUGUGUAUGAAUUAUAGAAAAAUAGAAUGUUCUCUCUGUAUCUACUACUUUCACAAGAUCUGACCAGGAAUAAUUUGACCAGAAAUUUUGUAUAAAUUGAAAGUUUCCUAGUUUUUGUGUAAUUUUAAAAAAUUUGCUGAUAUUCGAAAAAUUUGAUUUAAAAAAAAAAAACUCCUUAUAAAAAUAGUUUUUUAUUAAAAUUUUUAUUUUCUUGAGACUUUAACAGGUCUUGAGACUUUGGCAGUCAUAGUCUUUAAAUAUCCUUGAGAAGUGCUCGACUUUCAAUUUUCAUAGGCUAUUGGAAAUAAUUGUAAAUUCUUUGAAGUUGUUUAGAAAUUCUUUAAAAUGAAAAAAUUUGUCACCAAAAAUUUUUCAAGUUACAUUUAAUUAGUGCAAUCAUGGGGCAAAUGUAUGCUCAUAAAAAGGGUUCAUUUUUAAAUAGGAUAACUGUUAUUUUUUUUAUGCCAUGAAGUUCAGAGAACUGGAAGCAAAAAAAUUUUAUUGACCCAUAAAAUUUAAAUUUAAGAAAAAAUUGAGAAAAUUUUCUUGACUAUUGAGUGGGCAUUUAUUGCAAUUAAUUUCAACCUGUGUCGUCUGUUUCAAUGGCAAAAUGUUUUUUUUUCUUAAUUUUUGGAACUUGUUCAUUAAUUGCUAUUAAGUUACUUAAGUAUUUCAAUAUAGAUUUUAAAAUAUUUACAUCCUCUUUAUUUUUUUCCCCCUGAAGCUUUGUGCUUUUUUUUUUCCUUGAAAAUUCUUAAAGCUCUGAAGCUUUAUUUUGAAAAUAGAGAAAGAGAGCCCUGUUUAAAUAAGUAAUAUUAUCAAACAAUAAAGAAAAGAUAAUUUAUAUUAUGAGUUGAAAACUUUUAAAUAUUUUAUUUAUUUAUUUUUAUUGAGAACUUAUUAUUUUUAAAUCAGUUCAAAAUAUUUGUUUAGCUCUGAAAGUGCUAGUCACAGCUAAAUUAAGUGAAUGCAAUUUUUAUUUCUAUUUAAAAUUAUCAUUUGAAAAAUGUAAACAGCAUAAAUAAAAAUAUUUAUAGUCAAGUCUGUCUCAAUCAGACGAAACCUUUUUUUUUUUUUAACUGUAUCUCUCCAACAGAAAAAUUUAUAUUCAUAAUGUUGUUUUUGUUUUUAAUUUUUUUUUAUAAAAAUUUCAGUUUUCAUGAAGUUAUGCCUACUUUUUAUACAGUAUGCAAUAAUUUUUAUAGCACAUAAGUAAUAUCACUAACAGAAAUUAAAAGAAAAUUUAGAGUUUUUAAAAUUAAGCAGAUUUUCAUUUUUUCUUUUGAAAUAUCCCUAAAAUUGUUUUCCUGGAACAUUUUAUGCAUUUCACGACAUUUAUAUAUUAUCCUAAAUUGUUUGUACUGCAAACUAUCAUAAACUAACAUUAUUGCAGCAAAAUUAUAUUUAUAGUUAUUAAAGUAAUAUAGUUUUGGCAUUUUAAUAUUUCCUUUUAUAUUAAAAGAAUUUCCUGUAUAGACCAUUUUGUGUAUUUAAUAGUUACCAAAAAUUAUCUGUUUCAGAAAAUCUAUAAGAGAUUCAUAUCAGAAAAUUUGAUAAAACUGAUAUCUAAACUAGUUUUCUAUUCUUUAGUUCUAUAUAUACAAAAAUUUGUUGGAUUUUGAUUGGGUUGGUUCGCUUAAACAUUGGUUUACGGCAACAUAUGGGUCCUCAUAAUUUUUUUGACGUUGAUGCUAAAAAUAGAUAUCAAAGACAGUAAUUAUAGAACAUUCUGUAUGUAUAUAUAUUUCAUUGUUUGGCUGCUUUUGUAAAGCAUUUAUUUUGGUACAAAGUUAUAUUUUUUUUUCAAAUUGAUUUUCAAUCUUUAUUUAUUUUAAUUUUUAUUUAUUUACAAAAAGAAGCCUAUUUAAUAAUUGCAAACUCUGCAUGCUUGUAUAUGUUUUCUGUUUGUGAUUCUUUUUUCAAAACCAAAAGAUUAUUUAUUUAAAAAUGUUGAAAAUUCGAAGAAAAUCUUUAUAAGAAAUUAUUUUAGCUGUGUGCGCCUGUCACUUGUGUAUCUCGGUACUGCAUGUGCCUGACACUUGUAUUUCUGACCUGUGUACUCCUUUUAUAUAUGCGUUAAAUUUUUAUCAAAUUAUAUUUUGCAAACAAGAUUAAAUACCAAUUUUUUUUGCGUACUUUAGUCUCAGUGUUUGAUAUAUUUUUAUAAAAAUGUCAUUAUUUCUUUAGAAUGUAUAUGUUAAUGAAUAUUUAAUUUUGUAUAAAUGGGAAUGAGCUUACUAGUCAUGGGUGCAAGUCUUCUGUCCCCAGGACGGAUUUCCGUCUUUCUAAAAUGUCCGCGGACGGAAGUAAGACGGAAACAAGACUGACUCGAAGACGGAAAUUGGAAUAUUUUUUUUCUGUCCUUAAAAAUAUUUUUUAGGUCUGCGUUAUUGGUCUACUUUCUUAUGUGCUGUUGUUAUUUUAUCAAAAGACAGAUGAAUAAAUAUUUUUUGUACCGUAUUUAAACUUGAUGUAUUAUGGUAAAGCUUUCUUAGAUAGUUUGCAUAUGUCGAGUGGGUAUUGCGUAUGUUAGGUAUUUCAAUCAAAAAAUUUUCAGUCUUGGCCUUUUUUUCCAACUUGCACCCAUGUUGCUAGUUAAAUCUUAAAAUUGUAUGUAAUGAUAUGAAGAUGAUAAAAUUGUAUGUAUAAAAUGAAAUUGUUAAUUAAAUUAUAAUAUCAUAGUAUAAAUAUCUUACAUCAUGUAUAUUUUGUGACUUAUGAAUUAUAUUAAUCGAAAUUUACAUGAAACUUAUCUACGUAUUAUUAAAAUUAAAAAAAAUUCUUACUUUUAAUUAUUUUAUACAUUAGAUUAUGAUAGUGUAAUCAAUGUUUCUUAUGAAAACAUGGAUUUUGUUAUGUAAAGGCAUUUAUUUUUGACAGAAUUUUAUAUGAAAUUUUGAGCAUGUUUUGACAAUAAUUUAAUAAGAAAAUAUAUACUAAAAUAUUCUGGAAUAAUGUAUGAUGAAGUUUUUAUUUAUUGAAAUGUACAAUGAUUAUUUAUCAUUAUUCAUUCAACUUACCAAUAAAUACUUAGACUAUAAAAA